rnacentral:tRNA from 1 species
GGUUGUUUGGCCGAGCGGUCUAAGGCGCCUGAUUCAAGAGUUCGACUCUUACUGGCAGAAAAAAACUGUUAGGAAUCCUCAGGUAUCGCAAGAUGCGUGAGUUCGAAUCUCACAGCAACCA